rnacentral:tRNA from 1 species
GCAUCUUUAGUAUAUGUGGUAAUACAAUGGUCUCCAAAACCAUAGAACAGGGUUCAAGUCCUUGAGGAUGUG